UUGCGGCAAUAUCACAUUGAAACACUUGUUCUCAUAUAAUCCAACAUGGUGAAGCAACGUCGAGCCUAGUCAGUACCUAGAUGGGUGACCACUUGGGAAUACAAGGUGCUGUAAG